CUUUUUUAUUACAUGACAUGUCCCUACCACAAAACAAAAAUGAACAAACUAUAUGGUUUACUAGAAAAUUUUUCAAUAAAACAAGCUACAUCUUGCGCCAAACUAAUAGCUAUUAGUCUUAUUUUUAUCCAAUAAACACAAUAAUUACAAUAAUGAUUCUUAACCAAACAAAAAUCUCGGGUAAUUAGCACAAAACAUCCCUACCUUUCAAUGUUUUUGUGGAAAACGUCCCUACCUUUCAUUUUUUGGUGGAUUACACCCUUACCUUUACAUUUUUUUGCGCAAAACGUCCUUCUGUCAACUCUCCGUUAAAAUGCUCCGUUAAAUCAAAAAGGUAAUUAGCAUAAAAAGUCCCCCCACCUUUCAAAGUUAUUGUGCAAAACGUCCCUACCUUUUAUUUUUUAGCAUAAUUAGCAGAAAAUGUCCUUACCUUUCAAUAUUAUUGUGCAAAACAUCCCUACCUUUCAUCUUUAGCAUUUUUACCCCUACAUUUCACAUUUUAUUGCGCAAAAGGUUAUUUUCAUCCAUUUUUUCAAUAAAAUGACGAUUUUACCCUCCUAUUGAAAUAAAACAAAAAGAAAAGAAAAAAAUAAUUAAUUAAUUGCAAUCAUAGUUCUAAAUCUUUCAAAACAUUACAGAUAAAUCCUAAAUUCUCCACUACCGCCACUUUCACAACCCCACCAAGCCACCACCUAUAGAUUCAUAUAGCACCACUUUUCGACCACAACACAUAGGACUCUACCACCACCAGCGUCGCCUCACUCUCCCCAAUAACCUCCUCCAUAGUAUUGGUCACCAAUCUGUCCGAAACAACCACAUUUACGGUGAUGGAGUCCAGUGGGCAUGGUGGCCGAAAGGUGGUAUUAUGUGGAUUUAUAGUUGGCAGCUUGAUAGGUUGUGAAAAUGGUGGUGGUUGAGAAUUUAUGAUUUUUUGUAAUUUUUUAAAAAUUUAAGGAUUAUGGUUGCAGUUGGUAAUUCAUCUUUUCUUUUUGUUUUAUUUGAAUAGGAGGGUAAAAUCGUCAUUUUAUUGAAAAAAUGGAUGAAAAUGACCUUUUUGCAAUGAAAGGUGAAAGGUAGGGGUAAAAAUGCUAAAAAUGAAAGGUAGGGACGUUUUGCACAAUAAUAUUGAAAGGUAGGGACCUUUUCUGCUAAUUAUGCUAAAAAAUAAAAGGUAGGGACGUUUUGCACAAUAACUUUGAAAGGUAGGGACCUUUUGUGCUAAUUACCUUUUUGAUUUAACGGAGCAUUUUAACUCAAAGUUGACAGAAGGACGUUUUGCGCAAAAAAAUGUAAAGGUAAGGGUGUAAUCCACCAAAAAAUGAAAGGUAGGACGUUAUCCACAAAAACAUCGAAAGGUAGGGAUGUUUUGUGCUAAUUACCCAAAAAUCUCUUAUGAG
rnacentral:lncRNA from 1 species